AGAGUUUGAUCCUGGCUCAGAUUGAACGCUGGCGGCGUGCUUAACACAUGCAAGUCGAACGUGAAAGUCCUUCGGGGCGAGUAAAGUGGCGCACGGGUGAGUAACGCGUGGAUAAUCUACCCUUAAGAUGGGGAUAACGGCUGGAAACGGUCGCUAAUACCGAAUACGCUCCCGAUUUUAUCAUUGGGGGGAAAGAUGGCCUCUGCUUGCAAGCUAUCGCUUAAGGAUGAGUCCGCGUCCCAUUAGCUAGUUGGCGGGGUAACGGCCCACCAAGGCAACGAUGGGUAGCCGGUCUGAGAGGAUGACCGGCCACACUGGAACUGGAACACGGUCCAGACUCCUACGGGAGGCAGCAGUGGGGAAUAUUGCGCAAUGGGCGAAAGCCUGACGCAGCGACGCCGCGUGAGGGAUGAAGGUUCUCGGAUCGUAAACCUCUGUCAGGGGGGAAGAAACCCCCUCGUGUGAAUAAUGCGAGGGCUUGACGGUACCCCCAAAGGAAGCACCGGCUAACUCCGUGCCAGCAGCCGCGGUAAUACGGAGGGUGCAAGCGUUAAUCGGAAUCACUGGGCGUAAAGCGCACGUAGGCGGCUUGGUAAGUCAGGGGUGAAAUCCCACAGCCCAACUGUGGACCUGCCUUUGAUACUGCCAGGCUUGAGUACCGGAGAGGGUGGCGGAAUUCCAGGUGUAGGAGUGAAAUCCGUAGAUAUCUGGAGGAACACCGGUGGCGAAGGCGGCCACCUGGACGGUAACUGACGCUGAGGUGCGAAAGCGUGGGUAGCAAACAGGAUUAGAUACCCUGGUAGUCCACGCUGUAAACGAUGGGUGCUGGGUGCUGGGAUGUAUGUCUCGGUGCCGUAGCUAACGCGAUAAGCACCCCGCCUGGGGAGUACGGGUCGCAAGGCUGAAACUCAAAGAAAUUGACGGGGGCCCGCACAAGCGGUGGAAGUAUGUGGUUUAAUUCGAUGCAACGCGAAGAACCUUACCCAGGCUUGACAUC
rnacentral:rRNA from 1 species